rnacentral:rRNA from 1 species
CACCAUUGCUCCAUCCUUUGGGCAGGAGCCAUUUCUGAUGGCCCAGUCAGAAAUAACAGGGACACCUCUCUUGGCUCUCUUGUUGAUGAACCCAAGAUGCCCGACAAGGUCCUGCUGACUGAAGCUGUACCAUCCAACCUCUGCAAGCAUAGCGUAGAAGCAUGGGUUGAAUGUCCAUACACUGCUCUGGUUGAUGAUCAAGAGCGCCGCAAAGUCGGUGAGGUUUGGGGUGAUGGUGGUUUUGAAGCAGCCCUUCCCAGUGCACGAUGCACCGUUGGACGUGUUGUUGAUGCCCUGGCAGUUGGAGUAGCAACCGGCCACGUACAGGCCUGGGUUGCUGUGCAGGUAGCCACCAAUGAUACCCAUGGUGUUGCAACCGAUGACCAUGAAGCGGUUGCACGUGGGUCAAUGGAAACAAAUUCAAUAGACCAUUUGAGAUCAAUACUUGGAUAUUUAAAGAACUGA